AAACCGUUGAAAGGGAAGCGAAUGGAGUUAGCAAUUCGCCCUGCCAGAUUCAGUUGUUCGCACUUCGCGACGUGCGCGCUCUCGAUCCGCAUGGACGAGACGUGCACGGACGCGGCGUGCGGACGGCGCACUUCUGGCGGGCGAGCGUCAGCGUCGGUCGUCGACGGGCGACAAGGUCGCGAGGAAGGUAGACGUGCCUUCGGGCGCGUUGUUAAGACUCGCGUUCGCAUGGCUCGACGACGACCGUGGCUCCUUCAUGCGGAGGCGACGCGUGCCUGGCUGGCGACUCGUGCGAUCGGUCCGGCAUGACGACCGUGGCGGACGGCACGCCUGUGCGCUCGAACUGCUGCCGGUCGCUCGCACGAUGUUCGCACACUACGCGUCGAAGACGCUGACGAUCAUACGGCUCCAUCCGACCCGUCUUGAAACACGGACCAAGGAGUCUAACAUGUGCGCGAGUCUCCGGGUGAUCGAAACCCGUGGGCGCAAUGAAAGUAAAGGCCGUCCCAGACGGCUGAGGUGAGAAGCGCGCGCCUCUUCUCGACGUGCGCCGCAUCAUCGACCGACCUAUUCUGCUCUCAGAGAGGUUUGAGUAAGAGCGUAUCUGUUGGGACCCGAAA
rnacentral:rRNA from 1 species